AGUCGAACGAAGUUAUUUGAGCUUGCUUAGAUAACUUAGUGGCGGACGGGUGAGUAACACGUGAGCAAUCUGCCUUUCAGAGGGGGAUACCGAUUGGAAACGAUCGUUAAUACCGCAUAACAUAGUAAAUUCGCAUGUUUUUACUAUCAAAGAUUUAUCGCUGAAAGAUGAGCUCGCGUCUGAUUAGGUAGUUGGUGAGGUAACGGCCCACCAAGCCGACGAUCAGUAGCCGGACUGAGAGGUUGAACGGCCACAUUGGGACUGAGACACGGCCCAGACUCCUACGGGAGGCAGCAGUGGGGAAUAUUGCACAAUGGAGGAAACUCUGAUGCAGCGAUGCCGCGUGAGGGAAGAAGGUUCUCGGAUUGUAAACCUCUGUGUACAGGGACGAUAAUGACGGUACCUGUUCAGAAAGCUCCGGCUAACUACGUGCCAGCAGCCGCGGUAAUACGUAGGGAGCGAGCGUUGUCCGGAAUUACUGGGUGUAAAGGGAGUGUAGGCGGGACGGCAAGUCAGAUGUGAAAUUUAGGGGCUCAACCCCUGACCUGCAUUUGAAACUGCUGUUCUUGAGUGAAGUAGAGGUAAGCGGAAUUCCUAGUGUAGCGGUGAAAUGCGUAGAUAUUAGGAGGAACAUCAGUGGCGAAGGCGGCUUACUGGGCUUUAACUGACGCUGAGGCUCGAAAGCGUGGGGAGCAAACAGGAUUAGACACCCUGGUAGUCCACGCCGUAAACGAUGAUUACUAGGUGUGGGGGGACUGACCC
rnacentral:rRNA from 1 species